rnacentral:tRNA from 1 species
AAAAGAUUAGUUAAAUUAUAAUAAUGGAUUGUCAAAUCAUAGUAACUGGUUAAAUUCCAGUAUCUU